rnacentral:rRNA from 1 species
UAGGGAAUCUUCCACAAUGGGCGCAAGCCUGAUGGAGCAACACCGCGUGGAGGUGGAAGGCCUACGGGUCGUCAACUUCUUUUCUCGGAGAAGAAACAAUGACGGUAUCUGAGGAAUAAGCAUCGGCUAACUCUGUGCUAG